UUUUCCUUGACUGAAAUCGGAGUGCCAGAUACCAAUUUUUAGAGAUUAUCAUUUUAUUUGAAUUCCUGAAAUCAGAAGAACUUAUGAUGGAUGAUAUUCCCACUAUUUCUAGAGAGAUAACAAGCCCUGUCUUACCCAUAUUUAAUGAUUGUACAGGUGGUAUAUUGACUCCUC